UUGGGAGCUGGCAAUCAGACAUGCUGGGAGUAUUAUACCAUGGAAGUCAGCAAGUACUAAAAAUCAGAGUUGGAUCUGUCAUUUGGUUGAUUGUCUCUAGACUCAAAAAAUCAUGAGGAAAGUGUCAAUAAUGUGAAUUAAACUCGAAGGUCUAAGAUUAUUUACCCAGCUUUUGCUUGAUAAUAAUAUCAAUAAUAAUAACAGUUAAUGCUUUUAUGUGCCUCCUGUGCUCCAAGUGCUUCACAUAUUUAUCAAAUCCUCAUCACAUUUCUAUAAGGCCAUGCAGUCAUUGGCAGUGGGCAUGACCUCCAUGCUCUUCAGUCUCCUGUGGAAUCUGGAGCAUCACUUGGAGAAGCUUGGACUCUUCCCAGGAGCACUUCUUCUGAGUGUGCUACAACCUACCACAUGUGAAUCCAGCCCCUUCACUCUCUUACCUACCU